ACACAGGCAGAAGCAAGCCCAACAAAAUGAUUCCCCCAAAAGUGUGAGAUCCACAGCGCCGUGACGUCACAGCACAUUCCUGGCGCGAGCCUCAUCUCAUCUCUGGGCUCGAGGAGGGGGAAGGGCGGGAGAGGAUUUGAAGGAGUCCCACAGGGAACAUCCACAGGCCCGACAACAAAACUACUGCGGAGGGAUGAUGAAGGUUGUGGGUCUGGACGAGCCCGGCAGCAUGUACGUCCGUCUGGUACGUGCUGUCAUGUUGGUUGGGGGUUUUCUGGGUUGUAUAUUCAUCCUGAGUGGAAGAAAAAAAGACAGGUCCAUCAUGGAAGGGUAGUAUUUACAGUCAGAUACUCCUGUGGCGUCCGAGACACAGUCCAUCCAGAGGUUGGAAUAGUAAUCACCGGCGCUCAAAACGACAGAAGCACUUUCUGAGACGAUCCAGUACUCAGUGGCCAGAGUGGAACAGAUCAAAAUCCAGC